AGAAGAAAUGGACAUAUUCCUAGAAAAAUAUGACUUUCCAAAACUCAAUGAGGAAGAAUAAAAAAAACCCUGUAUAUGAUGAUAACUAUGGAGAAAAUUGAAGCUGUAAUAAAAAAACUUCCUGCAAUCAAAAGCCCUGGACCAAAUGGCUUUACAGGGUGUCUUUUCCCAAACAUUCAAAGAACAACUAAAAGCUAUAUUCCUCAGACUAUUCCAAAAACAUUCAAGAGAAAGGCACACUUCGAAACUCUUUGUAUGAAGCCAGCAUUACCCUAAUCACAAAAUCAGAUAAAAACACUACAAAGAAAGAGAAUUACAGAUAAAUAUCCCUAAUGAACAUAGAUGCUAAAAUCCUAAACAAUAUUCUAGCAAAUCAGAUCCAGCAUUACAUUAGAACAGAUCAUACACCACGACUAAGUUAGAUUUGUUUUAGGAAUGCAAGGAUGGUACAAUAUCCACAAAUCAAUAAAUGUGAUACAUCACAUAAACAAACUGAGAGA